rnacentral:rRNA from 1 species
UACGUAGGGUGCGAGCGUUAAUCGGAAUUACUGGGCGUAAAGCGUGCGCAGGCGGUUUUGUAAGCCAGAUGUGAAAUCCCCGGGCUUAACCUGGGAACUGCAUUUGGGACUGCAAGGCUGGAGUACGGCAGAGGGAGGUGGAAUUCCACGUGUAGCAGUGAAAUGCGUAGAGAUGUGGAGGAACACCGAUGGCGAAGGCAGCCUCCUGGGCCGUAACUGACGCUGAGGAGCGAAAGCGUGGGGAGCGAACAGG